CCUGAGGAGAUGCCGUGAGGAGAAUAUCAAGGGAACAGCCAUGUGCGGAACUUGAGGGGAACCGUGAGAGGACUCUGUGAGGGGAUAUCAGGGGGCUGUGCCCUGAGGGGACAUUGACAGGCACACAAAGUGCCCAACAGAGGCAUAGACACGCCUCCUGCUUUACCUAAUGCCUCAGCUCCCAGCUCCAUGUGGGAAGAAUAUGCCCACCCCUGGCCGAAUGAGGACCUCGCCUGGAAGCAGGAGCAUAGAUAUGGCGAGGACCCUGCUCAGGUGCCCAGUUCCUGCUGUGCGUUGCACUUUUGUUUAAAGACCCACAACUAGACAAAACCAGCACAUGAAGACAAGACUGAAUCACACCCAUAAGUCUUUGGGUGGUGAAGGAUUAUGGAAACUGGGGGCUUCCAGGAGCCCUUGCCCUGCCCCACUGGCCUGUGCAGGCCCCUCAGGUUCCUGGGGAUCCCAAAGACUCUGGGGCGCAGCCCUGGGGCGGCAGCUUCUGCUCCCAGGCCUGCUCCUCUGGUGCUGACUCACUGUUUCCCGAUGGCGACCCCUGGCGGUGACUUCAGGCUGCAUGGCCUGUGUGUCCCCACCCCAAACCGUGGCCUCCAGAAGGGAGCCCCAGCCCAGUGCCGGCCUGGCUCUCAUCAAAACCGAAACUGGCCAGACCUGAGGAACCAAAGCCACAUGUGACCAGGUGCUCCAGAGACGCACAGGCAGGAGACAGGGUCGAUAACACCAGCACGGUCCUGAGAUCUGAUGUGGUCUCUCCUCUUCAGCAUGCUUAUAUCUAUAAUUAAACUCUAAAGUUCUCCUGACAGUCAUUAACUCUGAACCUGUCUCGGAGCUUUAUUCACUGUCUGACUCCAGGACACCAGAGAUCGCUGGGAGAUCGCUCCCAGCCCCGUGGCUCCAUGGCUUGCACCAUGUGAGCAUACGUGAGCCCGUGUUUGUGAGAGCGCCCGGCUGUGAGCCCGAGGGCAGUCGAGCCCGAGGGCAGUGGCCACUGUCACGGGGCAGGUGGGCUAUCGAAAGUGCACGGUGAGCCCAGCAGGACCGCACCGGGUGCUUGGGGGCAACUCCUGUGGCUUGAGGGGCUCCAGCCACACUGAGCUCCAAGGUCAAGUUACUCUGCAGAGUCUCAAAGCUGUCUAAAGAUUAAACAAAAGGCAAAAAGAAAAAGAUACAUGCACGCUGUGUCAAACUCUGUUUUGAGAAAAAGGUGUAGGUCUGGGUUGGAAGGAGACACGGGGCAAAAGUGACCCAGGGCGCUCCCUGUCCUCCGUGACCUGCCCUGCAACAUGACCGCGACACACGCAGCCAGGGCAGGCCCAAGUGCGCUGCUGAUGGUGUCACCAGGUGGAGGGGCCACUGGCUGCCUGGAGCCCUGAAUGACCGUGUGGCACAGGCCCCCUGCACAGGCUCCCAGGGUAUGAGUGGAGGCCCUGUAUCCACAGAUCCCCCACCGCAGACCAUCACCAGGAGGCCAC
ensembl:lncRNA